rnacentral:lncRNA from 1 species
AUUUUGUCUUUUUAGGGCCGUACCCUUGGCAUAUGGAGGUUCCCAGGCUAAGGGUCUAAUCGGAGCUGUUGCCACCAGCCUACACCACAGCCAGAGCAAUGCCAGAUCCGAGUUGCAUCUGUGACCUACACCAGAGCUCAUGGCAAUGCUGGAUCCUUAACUCACUGAGUGAGGCCAGGGAUCGAACCCACAACCUUAUGGUUCCUAGUUGGAUUUGUUUCCACUGCACCACGACGGGAACUCCUUGGACUUUUUUCUUGAAAAAAAAUUUUAUUGAGCCAUAUACCACAAUAUUCACACUUUUAAAGUAGACAAUUUCAAUUGAUUUUACUAUACAGGUAUACCUGGGAGAUGUCGGAGGUUCAGUUCCAGACCAUCACAAUAGAGUGAAUAUUACAAGAAAGUGAAUCCCAUGAUUUUUUCCAGUACAUAUAAAUGUUAUGUUUACAGUAUACUAUAGUCUAUUAAGUAUGCAGUAGUAUUAUGUCUAAAUAAUCUAUGUAUCUUAUUUAAAAAAUACUUUAUUGCUAAAAAAAAUGCUAUCACCCGAGCCUUCAACAAAUCAUGGUAGUACCAUCACAGAUCACUAUAAUAUAAUAAUAAUGUAAAAACAUGAAAUAUUUGAGAAUUACCAAAAGGUGACACAGAGACAAGAAGUGAGCAAAUGCUGUUGAAAAAAUGGCACUAAUAGAUUUGCUCAUUACAGGCUUACCACAAACCUUCAAUUUGUAAAAAACACAAUAUCUGUGAAAAGCAAUAAAGUAAAGCACAAUAAAAUGAGGCAUUCCGAUAUUUACAAGGUUGUGCAACCAUCAUCACUAAUUCCAGUACAUUUUCACCACCCUCAAAAGAAACUCUAUACCAAUUAGUUGAAAACUGGACAUUUAAAGUAAUAUAAAGUGGCAACUCUGGAAAUCAGAUACCACCCUCCACCAGGGUUUGUUGUUGCUGGUUAGUUGUUAUUGUUGUUUGUUAGUAACUUUCCUGGACAAAUUCUAUAAAAUAUGUAUUCCCAUGCGUGGCCACUGAAGUCUCUGCUCAGUUAACUUAAUGGUCAGCUAAUGAAUGAACAAUUAGCCAUUCCAAAGGGGUUGUGUGUGUGUGUGCGAGUGCGUGACCGUGCAUGCACGUGUGCAUACACACACAUGCACUGAGACAUACUUCGAUGCUCCUGCAGUUCACAACUUCCUGCCUAUGUAGGUCCUCAAAAGCAUAUACAUAGCUCUUUACGUGUGUAGCCUUCCAGAUGCCCAGUGAUAUAGUAAAGCUUUUCAAAUCCCCCUAUGACCAUCUCAUUCUCAAGGUCUUUUAAAUUUCUGGCCAGGGUCUUGUUUGCCCCAAGGUAUGCUUCUUUAGUCAGCCACAAUGUUAAACAAUUACUAUUCACUGUUUUCGACAAAAGCCCUGAGUAUUAGAUCUCCUUUCCAUCCCUGCCCCCAGUGAGCUGUGAAUCAGGUCAAAUAAUAAAAAUAUCUUAUUAAUAAGGCUUUUCCAUGGAGCUGCAAGACAGGUAAAAUGGUGACAAUCCUAUGGGUAUGGGGUUUUUUGAGGAGCCCCAAAUCAUGUCUACCCUUCCAGUGGCUGCAAUGCUAUUCAUACUCAUAGCUACUGAGACUGUGAAGCUGCCAGUUUUCAAGCUAUUUCAGAAUGGGGUUAGGGGUAUGGGAAUAGUGCAAGUUAAAAUACCACGAAGGUUGCUAUUCCUACCGAGAUUCAGCAAUUAUUCUUGAGUAAGUGCUCCUUGGGUUGUGGCAAUUCUUUGGUUAAUUUCCAGAUUUCAGAAAAGUUGACUUUGAUAACUUUUGCAAGUGUUCUUGUUGCUUUUAUGGAAGGACAGAUUUUCAGUAGUUCUGACUCCACCAUUCUGGAAGCCUCCAAGGUCCACCUCUUGAAGGGAAGAGUACCAAAGAAUUUGUGGGCAUAUUGUAAAACCUCCACACAACAUCUAUACUCAGAACCAAAAUCCAAAGUCUUAACUUCCAACCUGGCUCAUAGCUGCCCCUAGCAGUUAUAAGAUUUAACAGUAGAUUUAAAGAGGUGGGGAGGCCUUACUGAUGAACAUUUUCCUUACAGCUGAACCAGAUGUUUUUUAUGGGGACUUUAUCCUCUAUUUGACCACUUGGAAAGCCUGUGCCCUCUGAAACCACCUGCCUGCCUUUUAGGGUAGGGAGGCCUCUACAAUCAGGAGGACUGCUGGAGCCUCUCGUGAUAUAAAGAUGAGCCAAGGGCAACCCAGGUGUCAAAGAUCCAUGAGCCUCUUGGAACCUCUAGGCUUUCCCAGUGAGGUUACCCAGUGUGCCUGGUAACACUUCUCCUUGCCUAGAUGGUGCCCUACCAAUUACUAGUCAUAUUCUUACUCUUGGCUAGCCUUCAUGGCACUUUCUGUGUAGUCCAUGGUACCUUGGUAAGAGAUUUUAUGUGGUCUAUAAUACUGACCAGAAACAAACCUCUCUGCUAUUGGACAAAUGAAGAAGUAUUGUGGCUUCCAUGGGAUUAUUUUGGAAUUGUAACUUAGAUCUGUACAUUUGACCUAGAAGUAGCUGUCUUCAGAGUGGCCCGUUAUAAAUUGUGUUCAGUGUGAGAACUAAUCAGCAGAAGCUCCACACCCUUGGCUGAGCCAUGUUUCCAGAAGUGAAUGGCUGAGACUAGGCUGAUUAUAACCCUUUCAUGAUGAAGGGCCUUCCUAGGAGAUCCAGGUUGACAGUUCACUGGAGGCAGGUGGCCUUGGUUUGUGUCACGUGUAAAUAUUAGAUUGAUACUACAGGGAAUCUUUUUUGUUUGCUGUAAUAAACCUAAUAUUCUAUGGGGAAAGAGGCUGAGAGAUUUCUGUUUUGCAAUAUACUUACUGGGAGGAAAUGGCCCAUACUGUAGAGGUGCCGAAGUAUAACUGGAAUGUACCUGCCAGACCUUGACUUCCUGUCAGUCCGUAACUAGGGAGUGUGGCAGAUUAAAGAUGGCUGCAAAGUCUUUGCUAUUCCUCCUAUGGAGAGUUGGAAUUAUUACUGGCCUAUUACUUUCAGACCUUUAGAAUAUGGCCGAAGUGAUUAUAUGCUAGUUUUAGGACUGGCCUUGGUCUUUUGGUUCCCUGAAUCAUCAAGUAGUAAGUCCAACUGGCCUGCUGUAGAGAUCAUGUGGCCAUUGCAGCCAAAGUAUCAGGCAUAGGAGUGAAGCCAUCUUGGAUGCUGUGGACAGACCAGCAGCCAACUCAAUACCACCAACUGACCCUAGUUGAUACCACACAGAACAGAAUUCCCUAAGCAAUCUCUGGAUCCAUAGAACCAUGAGAUAUAAUAAUAGUUUUAAGCCAUUAGGCUGGGUUAGUUUGUUACAUGAAGAUAUAUAACUGGAACUGGGAGCUAGUGCCCUUCUGUGAGUGUCUUAACAUGAGCAAGGGUCCAGAGUUAGACCCUGACUUUUCUGCAGCUCCAUCUAAAUGGGGUCCUCCUAGACCCUCCUAGGGUAGCAGGACUAAGGGGACUGCCCUGUGCAUCACAGGAUGGGGCUCCUAGGAGGCUGGGUGGUGUGCAAGCCAGCCACACUGAAGGAGGGUCCUCUUGGUGGAUAGACCUUGUGCUUAUGACCAGCAAAUGAAUAUCUAGAUAGGAAAUUGCUGAGUUGUGAAUGUGUCAAUUUCUAAGGUUUCUGAUGCAUCCUGCCAAAGCGUAUUCGGGAAAGAUCCUACCAAUUUCUAGUUCCUCCCACAGUCUAAGAGAGUGCCUACUCCAUGCCCCUCGAGUGAACACUGGUUGUUAUCAACUGUCAUCUUUUCAGGAGUGUCAUCCAUUUGCACAACCUCAGUUUGUUCCCUUUGUAUCCAUUGUACCUUAGUGUCUGGAACAAAGAAUUACACAAUAAAUUUUUGAAUGUACAAAGUCUCCUAGGGCUGCAAAGCCCUCUCCUGUCUCUCUACUCCUGUCCUAGAUGUCCCGCAAGGGCCUCACAUUCAUCAUCCACUCAAGCUUGCUUCUCCCCCCGCAACACAUGGGGUUUCCCAUCACACUGCCUGGCUCAUCCUCUCACCAUCGGUUCAGUUAACCCAGCUAGAAACCUGGGAACCUUCCUUUGCACCCUUACCACUUGUGCUUACUCACCCCCUUUGAGCCAACCCAUGAUCACAUCCUGCCACUUCUACACAUUCUUUACCUAUUCGUACAUUCUAAAAAUAUUUCUUGAUGAUCUACUAUGUGCCAGAAACUGUUCUAGGUGAUAGAGAUACAGAGAACAAAAGAUGCAAAAGGCUCUGCCCUCUGAGAGUGUGUAUUUUACUUGGGGGAAAACAAAAAAUAAACAAAUUAACAACGGUAUUAUCUAAGAUGUCUGAUGGUGAUAACUGCUGUGGAGAAAAUUAAGCAGAGAAGGGUGAUAAGGUAUGGGGGAGGGGCUGCUGUGCUUAAUAGGUGGUCAGGGGAAGACUCACCUGGGAGAUGAAACUCAAGUAGAAACCUGAAUGAGCAAUCACGUUUUUCAGUAUCUUCUACGUCUAUCCACUCUCUCCACCUGCACUGCCGUCACCCUAAUUCAAUCCACCACCAUGUUCCUCCUGGAUUAUUACUAGUCUCCUUGUCAUCCAUCUUCCAAUUCACUAUUUAUCUUCUUCCCAGGGUAAUGCUUUUUAAGUCAAAACCUGAUCCCACUCUAUUGUUUAGAACCCUUUAGUGGUUACCCCACACUUGUCAAGGUAAAUACCAAAAACUCAUUAAUAUCUCCAAUGAGUCCCUAAGUCCUUCUCCAACUGUAUGUCCCUAUGGCUCCCCUCCCCCACCCCAAUAGCUCCAGCUACUUUUCAUUCCUUCAGUAAGUAUGAUGCUGAACUUUUAAAAACUUUUUUUUUUUUUUUUUUUUUUUGCCUUUUCUAGGGCCACUCCUGUGGCAUGUGGAGAUUCCUAGGCUAGGGGUCUAAUCCUUUCUAUAGCCACUGGCCUACACCAGAGCCACAGCAACGCGGGAUCUGAGCCACAUCUGCAACCUACACCACUGCUCACAGCAAUGCCGGAUCCUUAACCCACUGAGCAAGGCCAGGGAUCGAACCGCAAGUUCAUGGUUCCUAGUCAGAUUCAUUAACUACUGUGCCACGACAGGAACUCCUUAAAAACCUUUUUAAGCCCCUCUCUUCUUAUUCUACAAAGAAAGUUAUGAGAUUUUAUUUUCGGUGUUGG